rnacentral:rRNA from 1 species
CGCAAGCCUGACGGAGCAAGACCGCGUGGGGGAUGACGGCCUAAUGGUUGUAAACCCCUUUUCUCUGGGAAGAAGACUGACGGUACCGGAGGAAUCAGCCUCGGCUAACUCCGUGCCAGCAGCCGCGGUAAUACGGAGGAGGCAAGCGUUAUCCGGAAUUAUUGGGCGUAAAGCGUCCGUAGGUGGUUAUUCAAGUCUGCUGUCAAAGCGUGGGGCUUAACUCCAUAGAGGCAGUGGAAACUGAGUGACUAGAGUGCGGUAGGGGUCGAGGGAAUUCCCAGUGUAGCGGUGAAACGCGUAGAUAUUGGGAAGAACACCAGUGGCGAAAGCGCUCGACUGGGCCUGCACUGACACCGAGGGACGAAAGCUAGGGGAGCG